GUCAUAUUUUCCUUAAAUUUAGCCUUAUUGGUGUGGGACCCACCCUACAGCAAAAAGACUUAUCGUUUCUACUUCCAUCUCUUCGUAACCCUCACCCUUAUUUCACCCUUCACCGAAACGACCCUACAUUUCCAAGCUUUCACCGCCCUUCCCAUUCUAAUACUCCGCCUCCACCUCCGCCUCUGCACCCUCAUCUCCUCCCCCUCUGCGGCACCACCGGAGUCCUUGCUGGAGCCAUCGUCAAAGUCCCUGACGGAGCCAUUACCUAAGACCUUGCCGGAGCUGUCGCCGGAGUAGGGGGGGAAAUGAGAGAGCCAAACCACUGCAGCAGGGCUCGGGCUUUAGCCAAUCCAGUGAUGAGCAUCCUUCUUCGACACUGUUCGCUCCUCCCUCUACGUCUAUCCCGAUCUCCUUCACCGUACCACCAUCCACGACCGCCUCUCCGCACUCUACGUCGCUGCCACAAACGGGCGCGUCGAGACCCCUUUGAUGUGCACGGCGAUGCAUGGUGAGAUCGAUUUUGUGAGAAACCUCCUCGAAUAAAAGAGGAUGGAACCUAUAGUGUGAUUAACAAGAGAAUCAAAGAAAAAAAGGAUGACCGAGAUGAAUCAAGUAAUGAUGGUUGUUAACAAAAAAAAAAACAAAAAAAACAAAAAAAGAAAAGAUCACUUCCCUAAAUUCACUCCUCCACUAUCUCCUACCAUUCCGUCCAUUUCUACCACUCUCUCCACCAUUCCCUCUACUUUCUCACCAUUCCUACCACUUCUCCAUCACUCACUCUACUUCUCCACCAUUUUCUCCACUUCUCCACACUUCUCCACCAUUCC